rnacentral:rRNA from 2 species
UGCUGUGAGCUCGAUGAGUAGGGCGGGACACGUGGUAUCCUGUCUGAAUAUGGGGGGACCAUCCUCCAAGGCUAAAUACUCCUGACUGACCGAUAGUGAACCAGUACCGUGAGGGAAAGGCGAAAAGAACCCCGGCGAGGGGAGUGAAAAAGAACCUGAAACCGUGUACGUACAAGCAGUGGGAGCACCCUUUGGGGUGUGACUGCGUACCUUUUGUAUAAUGGGUCAGCGACUUAUAUUCUGUAGCAAGGUUAACCGAAUAGGGGAGCCGGAGGGAAACCGAGUCUUAAUUGGGCGUUAAGUUGCAGGGUAUAGACCCGAAACCCGGUGAUCUAGCCAUGGGCAGGUUGAAGGUUGGGUAACACUAACUGGAGGACCGAACCGACUAAUGUUGAAAAAUUAGCGGAUGACCUGUGGCUGGGGGUGAAAGGCCAAUCAAACCGGGAGAUAGCUGGUUCUCCCCGAAAGCUAUUUAGGUAGCGCCUCGUGAAUUCAUCUCCGGGGGUAGAGCACUGUUUCGGCUAGGGGGCCAUCCCGGCUUACCAACCCGAUGCAAACUGCGAAUACCGGAGAAUGUUAUCACGGGAGACACACGGCGGGUGCUAACGUCCGUCGUGAAGAGGGAAACAACCCAGACCGCCAGCUAAGGUCCCAAAGUCAUGGUUAAGUGGGAAACGAUGUGGGAAGGCCCAGACAGCCAGGAUGUUGGCUUAGAAGCAGCCAUCAUUUAAAGAAAGCGUAAUAGCUCACUGGUCGAGUCGGCCUGCGCGGAAGAUGUAACGGGGCUAAACCAU